CUGGCUCGGCCGCAGCCAAUGGGGCGGGCUCGGGCCUCCAUGUGAUGGCGAGCUCUCUCCCCCGCCGGCUCUCCCGCGUCUGCCGGAGGUCGGGGCGCUUCCGCCGCCGGGCGUGCUGUCCGGAGGGGCGGCGUGGCGAGUUCGGUGGCCCGGGGUCUGACGCUGGCGGCGGGAGGCUGCUGGACUGGGCGCAGGUGCAGCCGGCGGGGAGGGGCAGCCGCCGUAGCUCGCAGUCGCCCCAUCGCUCAGCUGUAAAACGCCCCCCUGGACAGGGCGCGGGGCCCGGCGGCCAGUGUCGCCAGGCGGGCGCGAGGCCACCUCAGGAGCCUUCAUCCCCCCUGGGGCUAUCCUGUCAACUCAAGCUCUGAUAGUGUAUUUCCCAAGCACACACCCCGAAAGCCUUCUGCAUGCAAUUCUCCAUCUCAGAUUUGUUUCCAAGGAGCCCAAGCCGAGCCAGUGUGGUGCGCCUGGACUUCACAGAUUGCCCUCAGAUGAGCUCAGCUCCUGACCUUCCUGUCUGGAGCCUGAAUGCACCUCCAUGUGAGGAAGGUGCCUCAACACUAUCUCCGGCUCCACAUAUGCUUCUUACAAUGUGACAUGGACAUUGAAAGGUGGGGGUCCGUGUCACCUCUCCUCUGCCCUUGAACUGGACAAGAUUUACAGCUAUUUCAACCAAUGGCAGAGGUGAUAUCAUAAAGUGUGAGGCAGUGUACUUUCUGGCUGUUGGAAUAGUCGCCUCGGAACCCUAAGCUAUCAUCUAAGAUCUCUGACUACCCUGAAGCUGACAUCCUGUGAGGAAGCCCAGGCCGUAUGGAGAGGCCCAUUUGAGGUUCCAGCCAACAGCGAGAAUCAAAUGCCAUACAUGGGAGUGAAGAUGUCUCCAGAAGAUUCUAGCUUCCAGUCACCGAGUCUUCCCAACUGAGGUCCCAGACAUCAUGGAGCAGAGGAGAAGUUUGGACACAGAGACAACACACACAGGGAUAACGCCAUAUGAAGAUGAAGGUAGAGAUUGGGUGAUGCAUCUAUCAGCAAGGAUUACCAAAGAUUGCCAGAAACUAUAGACUUAUGGAACAGAUUCUCCCUCACAGCCCUCAGAAGGAACCAACCCUGCUUUCACUUUGAUCUAGAACUGUGAGACAAUAAUUUUGUUUGUUUAAGCCACCCAGUAUGUGGUAGUUUGUCACGGCAGCUCUGGGAAAAUAAUACAUUCGAGAACCAGUUUGGACAGGAAUGAUAGUCCUUUAUAGCUCCAGGGUCCUCAGUUAAUGCAAGUUAGGCUUCUUGAUUCAUUCAGCAAUAUCUUUUCGAGGUCCAUCUCAUAGAAGUCACAAUGGGAAGCACUUUAGAAAAGUACAAAGACAAAUUAAGUCUUGGUUUCCACAAUCACUGGAACACCAACUCUGGAAGGAGAGAUAUGAUAAGUCCUAAAAUAACCAUAGUACAAGUGAUAAGUGCCCUAGAUAAUGAGGCAUGUAGAAAGUGUUAAGAGAAAUUCUAAAUAAGCCUUAAAAUUCUUUUAAAAAGUCUCAGUGAUCUUAGUAUAAGUAGAGCCAAAAUUAGAUUUGGAUGGACAGACUUGAAGGUAGAAGGGGCGUUUCUAUGAAUGUCUAACACUCAGUGGGUCCCUGGCUAAUUGAUUAAAGUACAUAGGUAAAGUAUAACUCCUUUAUUGUCAGGUCUAUUUAAAGCAUUUAUAGAGUCCUAGAUACAUUUUUGUAUAAUGAUUGUUUCCUCCCUGUACACAUAAGAAAAAAAUGUGUAUGAGUCUAAACAUUUUAAGACAAACUAGAAUGCAACUUCUGUCUUACAAGCAUUUACUACAAGGUUUUAGAGCCAACUUUCAGGCAUUUUUGAUGCAAGUUCUUUUUUUUCUUUUUUCUUUUUUAGUUUUUA